rnacentral:rRNA from 1 species
GGGUGAGUAACACGUAUGAAACCUGCCCGCAGCAGGGGGAUAAUCGGAAGAAAUUCCGUCUAAUACCGCGUAACAUCUCGGGAGGGCAUCCUUCCGGGAUUAGAGGGGCGAUCCGGCUGCGGAUGGUCAUGCGGCGCAUUAGCUUGUUGGCGGGGUAACGGCCCGCCAAGGCGACGAUGCGCAGGGGUUCUGAGAGGAAGGUCCCCCACACUGGUACUGAGACACGGACCAGACUCCUACGGGAGGCAGCAGUGAGGAAUAUUGGUCAAUGGCCGGGAGGCUGAACCAGCCAAGUCGCGUGAGGGAAGACGGCCCUACGGGUUGUAAACCUCUUUUGCCGGGGAGGAAAGGGCGGGAUGUGUCCCGCGUCGAGAGUACCCGGAGAAAAAGCAUCGGCUAACUCCGUGCCAGCAGCCGCGGUAAUACGGAGGAUGCGAGCGUUAUCCGGAUUUAUUGGGUUUAAAGGGUGCGCAGGCGGGAUGUCAAGUCAGCGGUAAAAUCGGGAGGCUCAACCUCUCUCAGCCGUUGAAACUGGCGUUCUUGAGUGGGCGAGAAGUAUGCGGAAUGCGUGGUGUAGCGGUGAAAUGCAUAGGUAUCACGCAGAACCCCGAUUGCGAAGGCAGCAUACCGGCGCCCGACUGACGCUCAUGCACGAAAGCGUGGGUAUCGAACAGGAUUAGAUACCCUGGUAGUCCACGCAGUAAACGAU